rnacentral:rRNA from 1 species
UACAGAGGGUGCAAGCGUUAAUCGGAUUUACUGGGCGUAAAGCGUGAGUAGGUGGCUCGCUAAGUCGGUUGUGAAAUCCCUGGGCUCAACCUGGGAAUUGCAGUCGAUACUGGCAAGCUAGAGUUCGGUAGAGGGUGGCGGAACUCCCGGUGUAGCGGUGAAAUGCGUAGAUAUCGGGAGGAACAUCGAUGGCGAAGGCAACCACCUGGGCCUGAACUGACACUGAGACACGAAAGCGUGGGUAGCAAACAGG